rnacentral:rRNA from 1 species
AUUGAACACUGGCGGAAUGCUUUACGCAUGCAAGUCGAACGGUAGAGGGGGCAACCCCUCGAGAGUGGCGAACGGGUGAGUAAUAUAUCGGAACGUGCCCAGUCGUGGGGGAUAACGUAGCGAAAGUUACGCUAAUACCGCAUACGAUCUAAGGAUGAAAGCGGGGGAUCGCAAGACCUCGCGCGAUUGGAGCGGCCGAUAUCAGAUUAGGUAGUUGGUGGGGUAAAGGCCCACCAAGCCAACGAUCUGUAGCUGGUCUGAGAGGACGACCAGCCACACUGGAACUGCGACACGGUCCAGACUCCUACGGGAGGCAGCAGUGGGGAAUUUUGGACAAUGGGCGAAAGCCUGAUCCAGCCAUUCCGCGUGCAGGAUGAAGGCCCUCGGGUUGUAAACUGCUUUUGUACAGAACGAAAAGGUUUCUACUAAUACUAGGAGCUCAUGACGGUACUGUAAGAAUAAGCACCGGCUAACUACGUGCCAGCCGCCGCCGUAA